rnacentral:lncRNA from 1 species
AGAAAAGCCUAUAGAGAAAAGAAGAUGGAGUUUAAAGCAGCGUCUCAUUCAGCAGCUUCCGUUAAGAGACCUGGGUUGGAUCCACUGUUGCCUGUCCUGUGCAUUCUGGACACAAGUGUUCCACACGACAGGCAGCAGUGUAUACUGAAACCAACAAAGGAGGCUAAGACAUGCCAGUCAUUGAGACCGUCUGAAUCAAACGAGGACACUCGACUGAGGGAUCCCAAUACAGCUUGUGAGGAAGGUAAUAUCUUUGCAUUACUAUCACACAAGCCCUGACACAUAUCCAUAAAGAUAUGUUUCCACCUGAUCCAUCCUGUGGGCUGUGCACUAGAAGUUCCUGCCUACGUACAGUAUUAACCAAUCUAUUGUCUAACAUUUCAUCCAAAAAAAGAUGCCAGAUUUUUACAACAACACUAUCAGAAAAGCAGUAUCUGGGGCAGCACAUAAUCCCAUUUGGGAAAUAAUGUGGCAAAACUUUUAAGUGUCUGGUAGAAAAUGACGUGGGAUACGUUAAAUUGUAAGUGUUUUUCACGAAAGAGAAUCAAAUACUUUGUAUACUUUGUUUUUCUUGAAUUAAUUGUCAAGUUCUGUUUGCUGUAGUCUAGUAGACCGUCACAUAAAAGAGAGCCAGGAACCAGGCAGGAAAGCACAAAAUAACGAAUGGGUGAAAAACAAUUGGGUGAAGGAUUCCCUGCUCCAAUUUGUUAAAUUAAUCCCCCAAGUCUCCUGUCACCUGGAGGUGAAUGUGGACAGAGCCAUUUAUGGCCAGGGUCGCUUCAAGUCCUUCACCUUUCAGGAAAUGUGGCAGUGGUACAGCCUCCACAAGUGCCUUCAAGCUGACCCUCAAGCUGGAAGUGACCAUGAGAGGAAGAUGGCCCAGGAGGCUUUCUGCUCUGUGCGUCAGUGGCUGGUGAUGAAGGAGGACGACAUCAGCACAAAGACCAUGAAGCGCUUCAGGUUGUACAUCCUCAACAAAGAGAAAAAAGAGAAAGAGAAAUCUCUCCAGAAAGUGACCCCGGCUGCAGCAACAGCAUCGUCACAGACAGUAACACCUCCUGCAGUUACAACUUCCUCCAGCUCCUCAGUCUCCAAAGCUGACGACUCUUGGACAGAUGAUGCUUUGCUGGUUGAAGCUCUCACCACUUAUGAAACUGCUGUUGAGAAAGAGGCUCAGCCAGACCUUCCACAGACCGCUCAACCAGACCCCUCAGAGACCCCAUUUCACCAUCACCACUCCUGGUGGUGAAGUGACAGUUGCAGAUUCAGAGCCAAGUGAAGGCACUGUGUCCCCUGCAACACAAGUUGCUCAAUCUGAAGUAAUACAUUACAGUACAAUACAAUACAGUUUAAUGUACCCACAGCUCUGGUUGGUUAAUGAAGGAUUUGUCUUUGUUAAAACACCAGGUGUGAUUUGAGGGCUGCCAUAAAAUGUGGGAGUCUGACCUCCAUGGGCUUCCCAGUGCAGACAUCAAGUGGCUGAAAGAUGAUUCAGAGAAAGGGCUUAUCCAGAAGAUAAUGUCUUACGAGGACACACAUGGAAAGGUCAGGAAAAGGAUGGUCCUCAAGGAUGAUAGGAUGUGAUUUCAUCCCCCUGAGAGUCCCGGAGUGGUGGUGGGUGGAGUGCCCUCAGAAGACUGCUUUUUUUCGCAGCCGUUUGUUCUUUUGGAGACCUGUCGGUGUGUGGGGUUACAGCCUUCGCUGUCCCAGGACGGAUUGCCCUGCACAAGGUGACAGCAAGGCUUUUCUUUACCGCUGUGGCUAUUCCAAAACAGUGAGACAUAUCUGCGAGAUGUCUGGCUGGUACUCUAUGCUGACAGAGGUCCUGGCCUGUAAUGAAUGCCGGAAAGCUGCCAAGGAGUCAGCAACACUUUCUAUUGGUCGCUUUUUGGCAUGGGAUGCAGCCAUUCUCAAACAGCCUAGUCCAGCUCAUCAAGCCAUGUUCCCAGCAGUUUUAACACGGAUGUAAGUGUCUAAUUUAUUUCCAAAUACUUUGAAUUCACAUAAAAACAACAAAACAACAUAGUUUCACUGACAUCACAUGAUUGUGUGCUGUCAUCUCAGGCGCGGGGUGGACAAGCAGAUCAUUCGGUUAAUGAGGGAUCGCACUGUGGGCAACACCAUGGCCAAGGUCUGGAGGCAGGUCCAGGAGAGCCACUGUGAGGAUUACCUGCACAGAAAAGACCUCUACACCACCCUCCUUAGCCAGCUCAACAAACCUGGUGGGAUCAUAAGUAAGUCAUAUUAGACAUACAAACAAAUGUAUAUUUUUCACCUGCUGUCCUUAGUCAGGUUAAAAUAAAUACAACAGGAGGCCAU